UACGUAGGGGGCAAGCGUUGUCCGGAAUUAUUGGGCGUAAAGAGCGCGUAGGCGGUCCGAUAAGUCGGCUGUGAAAGUCCAGGGCUCAACCCUGGAAAGCCGGCCGAUACUGUCGGACUAGAGUCCGGAAGAGGCAAGUGGAAUUCCCGGUGUAGCGGUGAAAUGCGCAGAUAUCAGGAGGAACACCAAUUGCGAAGGCAGCUCGCUGGGCCGGUACUGACGCUGAGGAGCGAAAGCGUGGGGAGCAAACAGG
rnacentral:rRNA from 1 species